rnacentral:sRNA from 1 species
CUGUCCAUCUUGGAAUCACCGCCACCAGAGUACGGGUCGUAUGUCUUUCCCUAUUGGUCACUCACCAUCGGCUGGCUAUUGGUCUGCACCUCUAUUCUCUGUAUACCAAGCUACAUGAUUUUCAGGUUUUUUAAGACGCCUGGAUCUUUAAAAGAGAGAAUCUAUUUAAUGAUCACGCCAGCAGAAAUACCAGAGCACGUGAAGCAACAGCAGGAGCUUCCGGUUUAUUUAUAGACGUGAUUUGUGCCACAGACCAUAAAGCACAGAUCAUAAAUCAAAUAUUUCCACUAUUCAUAAAGUCCAACACCUAAACAACUCAUAAUAAUAAUCCAAACAAAUGCCAAUAUCUUAAGUCCAAUACACAUAUCAUACUCACGAAAUGCCUGCACAGAUUAUAUAGUACGGCUCAUAAGCAUGCUCUGAUGUAAUGUUGCCUUGCUUCCAUCCAGUGGCAUAGCUAGGGAUUUGGGGGCCCGCGGGGUGCUCGACCUCUACAUUUCGACAUCAUGACAUGAGAAAUUGGCGUAAUAUUUAAUGUAAAAACACUCAUUAGGGGGCUCGGGUGGAUGUUCAGAUUUGGACCCCCCCCUCACCCUAGCUACGCCACUUCUGCCAUCACCGUCACUGUUCCAAGUCUACAUACGGUAUCGUCUUCAGAUGUUGCGUUGCGUAAGCAUGUAGAUCUAGAUCCUGUCGAUUUAUAGCUGCUUCCUAUUUUAGCGGUUAUCGGGCUGUGCAAUAACCAGGCUACAGAAAACGUACUCGUGUAUGGGCCAUUGUGCUCAGGAUAGUUCCAGUCAUCAAGAAUGCACCAAAGAUCAAAACAGUGUUGAAUAGAACCUUUGCCAGGACCGAACGAACAUUUGUAAGCUAAUUUAUUUCACGGACAAAAUCAGAUUACAUGUUUUAAAUGUUUUAGUGAGGUAGAAGAUGCAGAGAAAGAGAUAGUGAUAGCCAUGGUAUUAUGUGAUUGAAAAAUAUGCAUUGUUUUACAUGUAUCAGCGGAGGCACAUUCUCAAAAUAAGUGGCGUCUUAAUGUUCCACAGUUUGACUCUAGAGUGGCUUGAGUUCAAACCUUUUUUGUGUACUUUAUGUCGAUAUCUAGAUCUAUUUCACAGGUUAAUAUUUUGCUCAAUAUAAUAAAUAAAUUAUGUGGGUUUGUAUCAGUGGCGUCACUAGGGUGGGUGUCACCCGGUGCAGCCCGCACCCCCGCCAUCCGCCUAGAGACGCCAAUGGUUUACAUGACUGUUAUUAUAUAACUGGGGAAAAAAAUAAGUUACAUGUGUGUUUUUAGUUUUAUUACCUUAGAUGACAGCAUUGAUUUUCAUGAAUACAUGAAGAAGUAAUGGUACACAUGUAAGCAUGUCAAUAUGUCAUGUUUGUAACUGGGAGUAUCUCUGUUUGGUCAACUUCAUUACAGGUUAGUGUGGAGUCUUUACAAAUAGCCAGAUCAACUUCAUUACAGGUUAGUGUGGAUUCUUUUCAAAUAGCCAAAGUCUAUUCUCCAGUAUUGUUACUUUCAAUCUAACCACGCGGUUCUAUUUAAGAUCCUGUCUUUAGGAGUUCGAUUGAAAACUAUUUUAACUCUUUCUCUCCGUAAUUAUUUACCACAUUCUGGUGGAAUCAACGCUGGUAUCGUCAGUUAGGAGAGAAAGAGUUAAGAAUACCGGGUACUCAUUCCGAACAGUAAGAAAGUUAUUGUUAUAAAUCUAUGGAUUAUUACAGUCGAAUCUUUGUUUAAAAACUGAUAUAUUCUUCAUUAUUGUAAUGGUCGCUAUGACUUCAAUGUCAUCCUUGGCAUAAUGUAAUUGAGAAACUUUUACAAUAUUAAAAUAUUGUUUUGUUCUAUUUAGCGUAAGCAAUGUUAGGUUUUUAAGCGCUUUAUUUUUACAAUGUCCAAAAUAUUAUAUAUAUAUUAUAUAUUAGAUCAAGUAAUAUAUUUAUCUAGAUGUUAUCAUUAAAAACUUAGGUUAAAACUUUUACAUUUUUUGUCAUGUUUAAAAAAAAUAAUGUUCCCACUGUGAUUCUUUUCAAACCAAAACGGGUUCAACUAUCUGGCGUCAUACGUGUAUGAAAAUUUUUAUCCCGUAGUUCUGUGGUUUUGCAUAUAACUAUUAACGUAACAGUAUUAGCAGGGAGUCUAGAUCUGUUCUUGGCAGUGGCUAGCAGGGUAUCACUGGGCCCUGGUUCCAGAUAGCUCCCCACUACCUCUAAGAAACUAGCAAACGAGUCAUCCUGUAUGUAUCAUUAUACAAGUCAAAGUGAUAUGACACUUUAUUCAGUAUGAGUUCUUAUAAGUAAUAGUGUCAUGACACUUAAUUCAGCACGACUUCUUAUAUGUAAUAGUGUCAUGACAUUUAAUUCAGUAACAACUUCUUAUAAGUAAUAUCAUCAAGACGCUAAAUUUCUGAAGAACUACUUAUGAAAAUGAAACACUUUUUAAUGGCCCCGGUUCCACUUUCACCUUCAACUAUCCCUUAGUCUGUUAAACUGUUGGGGCAUCACACAUGAUCAAUGAUAAUCUUUCUGGAAUCUCUUUCAAUGCUUUCUCUGUCAUAUCCCCCCCCCCGGUUGGUGACUUAUUAAUUAUCGAACCCCAUGGCUGCUGUGUCACUGGCUCGUGGUAAAUCGGAAAUGAAGAACCCCCAUCCCCAUUAAUGUAAACUUAAUAUCGUAGCGACCCUUGGUUAAUUAUCUACAUUGUGCCACGAACAAUUUAUGUGGGAUUAUACUAAUAAUAUCAGUCUCGACGUUUACUAGAUAACUUAUGGUUCUUUCGGAAUUGUCAAGGAUAUAAUUCUACAACAGAUGCUAAUUCGUAGUUUUGUAGGCCUACUUUAUGGUUGAACAGAACUUGUGUGAAUGUGUGAGUUUAUGUGUGUAUGUGAGUCUAGAUGAGUACGUAUGUGUAAGUGUGUAUGCACAAAGUAAAUGUAAUUUUGGUAUAUGAGCGUGUAUGUGUGUAAAUGUAGCCCUCGUAGAAGACGGAAAGAAAACUUAAAUAGGCCCCCUACGGACAACGG